rnacentral:lncRNA from 1 species
AUGUUGGCAUUGAUCACAUAAAAGUAUCAUAGUAGUCUUUUUCUUCUCACCUCAUAUAAAACAAAGAAGAUCAAUUGACACAAUUACCAAUUCAAGAUGUAUAAAGUCAUUAAAAGGAAGAUGACAAGAAGCACAAUUCUUUGAAUGCUCUUGAUACUCUUGUCGAUUCUUACCUUCUAAAAAUAAAAUAUCACUAAAAAAUACAUUCUUUACAUAUAGAAUUAUGUGCCUUACCUUAACAUCAAGUAUUGUAGACACCUCACAUUGCAAAUAUACAUAAUCUUCUUUAGAAAAUCUUUGCAACUAGUAUCAAUAAGCUCGACUACAAAUACAAGUGUAUUGUAAAGUAUCACAAUGUUGAGUAAUAGAUAAGUUUUCCAUAGCCAUAGGUAUGGCUUAUUUAAAAAAAUUUAUCUGAUCAUAUAGACAUUGAAUUC